rnacentral:lncRNA from 1 species
AAUUAUUUGUCUGAGAAUAAUACAACUCUCCCAUCAAAAAUAAGAAAAACUAAAGCAAUUUUUGAAUAGAGGUGAAAGGAUAUUACUAAAGCAUCAAACAAUAGGAAAUACGAGGAAAUAAUGUCCACAAAAGGAGAAAUAACGGUAUUUUUCUAGAUGAAGUACUACCGUUAAAAUGUUUAUAAAUUGCCGUUCACAACAGGGUCCCAGUAGGAUAUGUUUGCUCUGACAGUUUUAGUGGAAAACACGGAAGGA